rnacentral:rRNA from 1 species
GAUGAACGCUGGCGGCGUGCCUAAUACAUGCAAGUCGAGCGAACGGACGAGAAGCUUGCGUCUCGGAUGUUAGCGGCGGACGGGUGAGUAACACGUGUAUAAUCUACCUAUAAGACUGGGAUAACUUCGGGAAACGGUAGCUAAUACCGGAGAAGAUUUUGAAGCGCGGGGGGGAAAAGUGAAAGACGGUCGUGCGGGCAGGUAUAGAUGGAUCCGCGCUGCAUUAGCUGGUUGGGAAGUUAACGGCUUACCAAGGCAACGAGGCAUAGCCGAGCUGAGAGGGUGAUCGGCCGCCCUGGAGCUGGGACACGCUCCUGACUCCUACGGUAGGCACCAGUCGCGAAUCUUCCGCAAUGGGCGAAAGCCUUGCGCAGCGGCGCCGCGUGAGUGAUGACGGUCUUCGGUUCGUAAAGCUCUGUUAUUAGGGAAGAACCUCUGUCUACGUAACUGUGCCCAUCUUGACGGUACCUGAUCAGAAAGCCCCGGCUAACUACGUG